rnacentral:rRNA from 1 species
CCUGUCGCGAAGGCGUCUAACUAGAACGGAUUCGACAGUGAGGACGAAAGCCAGGGGAGCGANCCGGAUUAGAUACCCCGAGUAGUCCUGNCCGUAAACGCUGCGAGCUAGGUGUUGCAUAUUUUUCGGGAAUAUGCAGUAUCGAAAUGAAGAUGUUAAGCUCGCCGCCUGGGAAGUAUAGUCGCAAGGCCGAAACUUAAAGGAAUUGGCGGGGGAGCACUACAAGGGGUGCGGCGUGCGGUUUAAUCUAAUUCAACGCAGAGAAUCUCACCAGGAACGACGGCAGAAUGAAAGUCAGGCUGAAGACCUUACUUGACGAGCCGAGAGGUGGUGCAUGGCCGCCGUCAGCUCGUGCCGCAAGGUGUCCUCUUAAGUGAGGUAACGAGCGAGACCUGUGCCUACAAUUACCAUCGACUCCUUUUGGAGGAUCGAGUACAUUGUGGGAACUGCCUUGGAAACAAGGAGGAAGGUGCAGGCUACGGUAGGUCUGUAUGCCCCGAAUUCCCUGGGCUACACGCGCGCAACAAUGGUAGGGACAAUGGGAUACAACUCCGAAAGGAGAAGUUAAUCCUCUAAACCCUAUCUUAGUUCAGAUCGAGGGCUGUAACUCGCUCUCGUGACGAUGGAAUCCCUAGUAAUCGGACGUCAACAUCGUCCGGUGAAUAUGUCCCUGUUCC